AGGAAAUCCCUUCUGAGUUGGACC
rnacentral:sRNA from 1 species